CCCUCUGUAGUUCAGUCGGUAGAACGGCGGACUGUUAAUCCGUAUGUCACUGGUUCGAGUCCAGUCAGAGGAG
rnacentral:tRNA from 1 species